UAGGGGGUCCCAUGGUCUCCCAUAUAUUUUCUUUCAUUAAAAUGUUGUAGUUUGGCCCGUUUUAGUUUCUUAAAAAUUGUUUCUAUUUAAAAAUCACAAAUUUUAAAAUUUUACCAAGAAAUUUUAAUAUAUCAUAUUCUUAUUAAGGCAAAGAUAUAUAACACCAAGUCUUAGUAAAUUGUAGCAUUACACAGACAUGUAUAUAUGUGGAGGUGUCUAUGCUUCUCUAAGCACUAGACGGACGUUACUGUAAGAAGUUUUUGUUA
rnacentral:misc_RNA from 1 species